UAUUACAAUGAAGAGUUUGAUCCUGGCUCAGGAUGAACGCUAGCUACAGGCUUAACACAUGCAAGUCGAGGGGCAGCAUGGUCUUAGCUUGCUAAGGCCGAUGGCGACCGGCGCACGGGUGAGUAACACGUAUCCAACCUGCCGUCUACUCUUGGGCAGCCUUCUGAAAGGAAGAUUAAUACAAGAUGGCAUCAUGAGUCCGCAUGUUCACAUGAUUAAAGGUAUUCCGGUAGACGAUGGGGAUGCGUUCCAUUAGAUAGUAGGCGGGGUAACGGCCCACCUAGUCUUCGAUGGAUAGGGGUUCUGAGAGGAAGGUCCCCCACAUUGGAACUGAGACACGGUCCAAACUCCUACGGGAGGCAGCAGUGAGGAAUAUUGGUCAAUGGGCGAGAGCCUGAACCAGCCAAGUAGCGUGAAGGAUGACUGCCCUAUGGGUUGUAAACUUCUUUUAUAAAGGAAUAAAGUCGGGUAUGCAUACCCGUUUGCAUGUACUUUAUGAAUAAGGAUCGGCUAACUCCGUGCCAGCAGCCGCGGUAAUACGGAGGAUCCGAGCGUUAUCCGGAUUUAUUGGGUUUAAAGGGAGCGUAGAUGGAUGUUUAAGUCAGUUGUGAAAGUUUGCGGCUCAACCGUAAAAUUGCAGUUGAUACUGGAUAUCUUGAGUGCAGUUGAGGCAGGCGGAAUUCGUGGUGUAGCGGUGAAAUGCUUAGAUAUCACGAAGAACUCCGAUUGCGAAGGCAGCCUGCUAAGCUGCAACUGACAUUGAGGCUCGAAAGUGUGGGUAUCAAACAGGAUUAGAUACCCUGGUAGUCCACACGGUAAACGAUGAAUACUCGCUGUUUGCGAUAUACGGCAAGCGGCCAAGCGAAAGCGUUAAGUAUUCCACCUGGGGAGUACGCCGGCAACGGUGAAACUCAAAGGAAUUGACGGGGGCCCGCACAAGCGGAGGAACAUGUGGUUUAAUUCGAUGAUACGCGAGGAACCUUACCCGGGCUUAAAUUGCAGAUGAAUUACGGUGAAAGCCGUAAGCCGCAAGGCAUCUGUGAAGGUGCUGCAUGGUUGUCGUCAGCUCGUGCCGUGAGGUGUCGGCUUAAGUGCCAUAACGAGCGCAACCCUUGUUGUCAGUUACUAACAGGUUCCGCUGAGGACUCUGACAAGACUGCCAUCGUAAGAUGUGAGGAAGGUGGGGAUGACGUCAAAUCAGCACGGCCCUUACGUCCGGGGCUACACACGUGUUACAAUGGGGGGUACAGAGGGCCGCUACCACGCGAGUGGAUGCCAAUCCCCAAAACCUCUCUCAGUUCGGACUGGAGUCUGCAACCCGACUCCACGAAGCUGGAUUCGCUAGUAAUCGCGCAUCAGCCACGGCGCGGUGAAUACGUUCCCGGGCCUUGUACACACCGCCCGUCAAGCCAUGGGAGCCGGGGGUACCUGAAGUGCGUAACCGCGAGGAGCGCCCUAGGGUAAAACUGGUGACUGGGGCUAAGUCGUAACAAGGUAGCCGUACCGGAAGGUGCGGCUGGAACACCUCCUUUCU
rnacentral:rRNA from 2 species